rnacentral:rRNA from 1 species
UACGUAGGGUGCAAGCGUUGUCCGGAAUUAUUGGGCGUAAAGAGCUUGUAGGCGGUUUGUCGCGUCUGCUGUGAAAAAUCCGGGGCUCAACCCCGGACUUGCAGUGGGUACGGGCAGACUAGAGUGUGGUAGGGGGAGACUGGAAUUCCUGGUGUAGCGGUGGAAUGCGCAGAUAUCAGGAGGAACACCGAUGGCGAAGGCAGGUCUCUGGGCCACUACUGACGCUGAGAAGCGAAAGCAUGGGGAGCGAACAGG